rnacentral:rRNA from 1 species
UACGAAGGGGGGCUAGCGUUGUUCGGAAUCACUGGGCGUAAAGCGCACGCAGGCGGAUUGAUAAGUCAGGGGUGAAAUCCCUCGGCUUAACCGAGGAACUGCCCUCCAAACUGCUUCGCUUGAGACCGGGAGAGGUGAGUGGAAUUCCCAGUGUAGCGGUGAAAUGCGUAGAUAUUGGGGAGGAACACCAGUGGCGAAGGCGGCUCACUGGACCGGAACUGACGCUGAUGCGCGAAAGCGUGGGGAGCAAACGGGG